UUGUUAAUAUUUUUUAAUGUAAAACUAGUCAAAUCUAUUUUAACUGCUUGGCUGCACAGCAAAACAAAUCAUCACAGAAAAAUUGAUUCAAGGAAAAAAAAAAAUAAAAAGCAAUUUGUAGCAAACUUUGGAAGCCAUAUUUCAUAAGCACCUCAAGAGCUUAACGAGCAAUGACUGUGCCACAACGGGCCAAUAAAAGUCCUUCAAGCAAUGAGCUGAACUCUAGGCAUCUCACUUAAUGCUCUUCCUCUUAACGUAUUCUGACUACUAGCCUUUCUUUCAUUGAGGAUAUGGACCUGUAUAUGUUAAACAAUCCUUGUGGGCAACAGGGCAAAUGUCAAGGCAAUUGACAACUUAUUUAAAGUAAGAUGCUUCACAGUCUCAGAAAUUUUGCCUAUUCCUACAAAUUGGAAGAUGAUUUCAACAGAAACUGACCUCUUCUGGCUGACUUAUACAUUAUACAGACACAUGGAUGCAAGGUGCGCUGGGUCUGGAUGUGCAAGCCGCAACUCUAUGCGAAAUAAAAAAAUCCAGAAGACACAUCGCAGUCCGGAGGUCACUGUUCACCCUGCGGUCUUUGUACCAGACGCACAAAACCGCUUUUGACUGCUACAAGUUUAUGGAAACACCACCCCAUCCUUAUCGCUGAAGCUCUUUUAUAUUAUCAGCUAAUAGUCUGCAAAGUGUUGGGUGUAUCAUAAAAACUAUAAAGACGCAACAGUAGCCCUUUUAAAAAAGUUUUAAUGCAACCACAGAAGGGUUUAAAUAUCCGAUGUUCCUCAAGUUUAAUGUACAAUGAUAGCUCCAGAAAACUACUAUUUUCUGACAGCUAUUACGACUUUUCUAGUAAGUCUGACAUGUUAAAAAACCAAAGAUUUUUUUCUUGAACCUUCUGGUCUUGCCAGGAAGAUGUCGAUCAGGGUUUUCUAAUAAGGUCUGAUAAACCACAGCAUAGACGCCUCCUAACCACGCCUCUAACAAAGGCAUGUAGGUGGACAUUUUUCUAGAAAUCAACCAAACUUUUAAAUUGUGUUUCCAUGCUUGA
rnacentral:lncRNA from 1 species